GUCUGGUGCGGAAGAGUCUAAACCAACUGAGCAUGAGACACAGGAAGAGGUAUUUAAAUGUGAGACUUGAAGAGUUAAAGGAAUCUGUAGUUUUCAUUCUUUAAGGCAAUUUAAGAUAUCUGGCAGUGAGAGGGUUAAGAGAGAACUCAAUACACAAAUGGUAAUGAAAGUAAAAGGUACAGAUGCUCUAAAGGACAGUUCGAAAGACAUCUAAUUUGUUAUUUUUAAAGAUUGAGCUGAUGUUGAAUGUCAAAAGUCAGCCUCCUUGAACAUGGCUUCUGUACGAGAACGUAUAAUAGAAACUGCAGCCCUGGGGAGGCCGCUUCAGAUGGGAAUGCUGUACGACUGCAGAAAUGAUUCAAUAGUACCAGGAAUAACACUUUGGGAUCAACAACAGCUGCAGCAUAACAAAGAUGUUCGUUCGCAACAUACCACAGAGUUCACAGUUGCAACUUCAGACACAAUUGAAGAAAAAUCUAACCAACUGAAAGUUAAUGGUGAACUGAAACUGAGUCUUUUGUGUGGGAUUGUCAAUGUUAGUGGUGCAGCCAGAUAUUUCAAUGACACUAAAAUGUCAUUUAUACAACAAAGGUUGACGCUGCAUUAUAAGACAACCACCAAAUUCGAGCAGUUGACUAUGGAACAUCUGAAACUAAGACAAAACCAUCACCAAGAGCUGUUUGAUCCUGAUAUAGCAACACAUGUGGUUACAGCAGUUUUGUAUGGAGCAGAUGCCUACUUUGUAUUUGAUAAAGAGAGGAAUUUGUCUGAUGAGACAAAAGAUGUACAGGGAGAUGUAAAAAUUGCUGCUGACAAGCUAAAGAUCCUUUGUUCUGCUGGGGCACAGGUAGAGUUAAACAUGAAUGAAAAUGA